UGAACCUAUCCAAGUUUAUUUGAAUUUAAAUUUGUAGUUGUAAUUAUAUUUUGUAUUAAUUUGGUUGUAGUUAUAAUUAUUUAUUGCAUUUGUAAGUUUCUUAGAAAUAAGAUGAUUGGGGAAAUUUGGGUCAAAAUUGAGGAAAAAGCAGUGAAGAUAAUCCCGGGAAGUGAAUGAGAGACUUCCCAAUCCAGGUGUUGAAUGCAACAGUUUUUUCCUUUGAAAUGAACGACCUAAAGAGGAACAAUUUCGUUUGGUGUUGGCUUCUUUUUUGUUGUCAUUGGAUGGCCUAUCAUUGCCAUGGUAUUGGAGGCAUAUGGGUUUAUUGUGCUCUUUAGGUUAGAAUGGAGAAAAUCAGUGAAAGAAUGAAGUAUCUGCAAGAUUUAUACCAGGGGGUAACAAAAUCACAGGCAAAGCUGGUAUGCUUGAUGAAAUCAUCAAUUAUGUUCAAUCUCUUCAACGGCAAGUAGAGGGUCUUUAGGUACCAAAACGGCGCCGUUUGGCACGACCUGUGGGCGACCCAACCCUUACCCAGGAGGAUCCGCGUGUUUUUGUGACUAGGCCACCUACGCAAGCUGCACCUGCAACAGGUGGCGGCCGGCCUAGCCCUCCCUAGCGCACCUGCAACCUGCAAAAAAAGAAGAGAACAUCAAAAUAAAAUGGGUUUUAAAACCCCCAAAGCAAAGAAGAAAAGGGGAGAAGAAAAGCAAGAAAAAAAAAGCAAAAAUUUUUGAGAGAAAAAUAAAAAAAAUAACAGCACACCGCCGGCCAUAGCACCAGCGCCACCGUGCCCACCGCCGCAAAACCCCCAUCGCCGACACCUAGCAAAGCAAACAACAACCAAGAAGCAAAAAUAAAAAGAGCAAGAAGCAAGCAACAAACAAAAAUAAAAGAGAAAAAAGAAGAAAAGAAGGGAAGAGGAGACCACCGUGUGCGCCACCGCCGGCCGUCGCUGGGCAGCAGGUCACCGUCGGCAAAAGCAGAGGAAGAGGAAGGCCGAACGGAGAAGAAGAAGAAAAAAGAGAAGGAAAGGAAGAAGAAGAAGAAGAAAGAAAAAGAGAAUAAAGAGAAUAAAUAAAUAAUAUUUUUUGAAUAGUCGGGUCGACCCGACCCGACCCGGGGCUGACAAGACCCGAUUCCGGCCCGGACUGACGACCCGCGCCCGACCCAGUAGCCCAGCAGGCCCAGCAGUAGCAGGCCAACCCAAAAAAAGAGAAAAAAAACAAAAACAGAAAAAAAAGAAAGCAGGCCAUUUUUUAGCAGGCCAACAGUAGGCCCAAUUCCAGCAGCCCAGCAAGCAGCCAGUCUAGGCCCAAUCUGCCAGCAGUCCAGUAGGCCUAUUCCUGCGCAGGCCCAACAGCAGGCAGCCCAACAAGCCAGCGCAGCAGAAAAAAAAAGAGAAAGGAAAAAAGAAAAAAAAAAGAAGGAAAAAUGGUUCAAUUUGCGUAACUCGUUCGACCAAGCUCGUGUUUUGGAUCUUUUCGGCAUCUCAUUAUGAAGGUGUUGGUUAAAGAUUGGUUGCCAAAAACGAGUUUCUGAUGGAGGAGUCAAUUACACGAGUAACUGAGAAAAAUGCUGUAGUCCGAGAUUGGUCUUUGAGGACUCAAAAAGUAAAAGGAGACAGUUUAAAGGAAGGAUACACCUCUGAUCUUCCCGAGCAUGUGACUUUGAAUGCUCGUCAGAACGAUCUCGAAGACUUGACUAGGAUUUGGAAACAGUGGGACUUAGGCACUAGGGGCAUCUUCAUUGGCAAAAUAUUUUGUAAUCGACUCUUUUGAUAAUUGAAACGCCAAAAUAUGAGGCUAUCUUGAAAUCAACACCAUUUUUUGCAUAUUUACGCAUGACUAGCAUCCAUUGGUCAUUCAUUCAUUCAUUCAUUCAUUGUAUGUACAUAUCACCCUAACCAUUCACUAAGGCUAGAACCGCAUAAUCCACAGUUGUGACACUACAAGUCUGGAAUCACGUCAUUCUUAUAGAACGCAUUUAAGAGCUAGAACUAUGGAUGCUGAGCUCAACGAGAGUGAUACAAUUGAAGAUGUUUCAAUGAUACACCCCUGUCUUCCAGGAUAUGUUUUGAACAAUUGGACUGCAGUGGACCUUCUUGUAGUUUCUAAGUCCUCUCCAGAGUAAUGCCCAAUGUUACUUCUCCAUUUAUUUUGUGUGCCCCUAAAUAGUGGGAUUCCUUUUUUAAGAGCUU